UACGCGGGGGGCAAGAGUUGUUCGGAAUUACUGGGCGUAAAGCGCACGUAGGCGGAUUUGUAAGUCAGGGGUGAAAUCCCGGGGCUCAACCUCGGAACUGCCUUUGAUACUGCGAGUCUCGAGCACGGAAGAGGUGAGUGGAAUUCCUAGUGUAGAGGUGAAAUGCGUAGAUAUUAGGAAGAACACCAGUGGCGAAGGCGGCUCACUGGGCCGUUGCUGACGCUGAGGUGCGAAAGCGUGGGGAGCAAACAGG
rnacentral:rRNA from 1 species